rnacentral:rRNA from 1 species
GACGAACGCUGGCGGCGUGCUUAACACAUGCAAGUCGAACGGAAAGGCCCUGCUUGCAGGGUACUCGAGUGGCGAACGGGUGAGUAACACGUGGGUGAUCUGCCCUGCACUUCGGGAUAAGCUUGGGAAACUGGGUCUAAUACCGGAUAGGACCGCACUUUAGUGUGUGUGGUGGAAAGUUUUUUCGGUGUAGGAUGAGCUCGCGGCCUAUCAGCUUGUUGGUGGGGUAAUGGCCUACCAAGGCGGCGACGGGUAGCCGGCCUGAGAGGGUGUACGGCCACAUUGGGACUGAGGGACGGCCCAGGCUCCUACGGGAGGGAGCAGUGGGGAAGAUUGCACAAUGGGCGCAAGGCUGAUGCAGCGACGCCGCGUGGGGGAUGAAGGCCUUCGGGUUGUAAACUCCUUUCGCUAGGGACGAAGCUUUUUGUGACGGUACCUAGAUAAGAAGCACCGGCUAACUACGUG